rnacentral:rRNA from 1 species
UACAGAGGUGCCAAGCGUUAGGCGGAAUCACUGGGCUUAAAGCGCGUGUAGGUGGGUCGUUAAGUGUCCGCGUGAAAUCCCACGGCUCAACCGUGGAACUGCCGGGCAUACUGGCGAUCUUGAGGCAUUCAGGGGCGAGCGGAACAAAUGGUGGAGCGGUGAAAUGCGUAGAUAUCGGAAGGAACACCAGUGGCGAAAGCGGCUUCCUGGUCCAGCACCGACGUUCAGGCACGAAAGCGUGGGGAGCAAACAGG